GAAGGGCAGUCGAAGAAGAAGAAGAAGAAGAUUGAACUUGUUUGUAACUUGUAUAUUAUGGAGCGAAUGAGGCAUCGAUACCAGCUGGUGUCAGAAACUGAAAGGGAAGGAAGGAGGGGUGAGUGAGUGAGAGAGACUAUUUAUCAUCAGACUGAUCGAUGAUUUAACUCCUCUGUGAGCAGUUGGGAUCCUUCAUCACCAACUUGCAAUAAUAUUAAUAGUAAUU
rnacentral:lncRNA from 1 species